ACAUACGACCAUAGACUCAAGAGAAUUGCGCAUCCCGUCCGCUCUGCCAUACACAAGCUUGAGAUCGGUGGAUUAGUAGUUGGGUGGGUGACCACCAGCGAAUACCCACUGUUGUAUGUU
rnacentral:rRNA from 1 species